GGCUCUCUGGCGGAACAGGCAGACGCGCUGGCUUCAAACUCCAGCACCCGCAAGGGUGUCCGGGUUCGAUUCCCGGGAGGGCCACCA
rnacentral:tRNA from 1 species